AUUGAACGCUGGCGGCAUGCCUUACACAUGCAAGUCGAACGGCAGCGGGGGAGAAGCUUGCUUUUCCUGCCGGCGAGUGACGAACGGGUGAGUAAUACAUCGGAACGUGCCCUGUAGUGGGGGAUAACUAGUCGAAAGAUUAGCUAAUACCGCAUACGACCUGAGGGUGAAAGUGGGGGACCGCAAGGCCUCAUGCUAUAGGAGCGGCCGAUGUCUGAUUAGCUAGUUGGUGGGGUAAAGGCCUACCAAGGCGACGAUCAGUAGCAGAUCUGAGAGGACGAACAGCCACACUGGGACUGAGACACGGCCCAGAAUCCUACGGGAGGCAGCAGUGGGGAAUUUUGGACAAUGGGCGAAAGCCUGAUCCAGCAAUGCCGCGUGUGUGAAGAAGGCCUUCGGGUUGUAAAGCACUUUUGUCCGGAAAGAAAUGGCUCUGGUUAAUACCUGGGGUCGAUGACGGUACCGGAAGAAUAAGGACCGGCUAACUACGUGCCAGCCGCCGCCGUAA
rnacentral:rRNA from 1 species